rnacentral:rRNA from 1 species
CCUACGGGGGGCAGCAGUGGGGAAUAUUGCACAAUGGGCGCAAGCCUGAUGCAGCCAUGCCGCGUGUGUGAAGAAGGCCUUCGGGUUGUAAAGCACUUUCAGUUGUGAGGAAAGGGAUGUAGUUAAUAACUGCAUUCUGUGACGUUAGCAGCAGAAGAAGCACCGGCUAACUCCGUGCCAGCAGCCGCGGUAAUACGGAGGGUGCGAGCGUUAAUCGGAAUUACUGGGCGUAAAGCGUGCGUAGGCGGUUACUUAAGUCAGAUGUGAAAUCCCGGGGCUCAACCUCGGAACUGCAUUUGAAACUGGGUGACUAGAGUUUUGUAGAGGGUGGUGGAAUUUCCAGUGUAGCGGUGAAAUGCGUAGAGAUUGGAAGGAACAUCAGUGGCGAAGGCGGCCACCUGGACAAAAACUGACGCUGAGGCACGAAAGCGUGGGGAGCAAACAGGAUUAGAUACCUGGUAGUCCACGCCGUAAACGAUGUCAACUAGCCGUCUGUAUCCUUGAGAUGUGGGUGGCGCAGCUAACGCGCUAAGUUGACCGCCUGGGGAGUACGGCCGCAAGGUUAAAACUCAAAUGAAUUGACGGGGGCCCGCACAAGCGGUGGAGCAUAUGGUUUAAUUCGAUGCAACGCGAAGAACCUUACCAUCCCUUGACAUCCAGAGAAUUUACUAGAGAUAGUUUAGUGCCUUCGGGAACUCUGUGACAGGUGCUGCAUGGCUGUCGUCAGCUCGUGUUGUGAAAUGUUGGGUUAAGUCCCGCAACGAGCGCAACCCCUAUCCUUAUUUGCCAGCGCGUAAUGGCGGGAACUCUAAGGAGACUGCCGGUGAUAAACCGGAGGAAGGUGGGGACGACGUCAAGUCAUCAUGGCCCUCACGGGAUGGGCUACACACGUGCUACAAUGGCAUAUACAGAGUGCUGCAAUACCGCGAGGUGGAGCGAAUCACACAAAGUAUGUCGUAGUCCGGAUCGGAGUCUGCAACUCGACUCCGUGAAGUCGGAAUCGCUAGUAAUCGUAGAUCAGAAUGCUACGGUGAAUACGUUCCUGGGCCUUGUACACACCGCCCGUC